rnacentral:rRNA from 1 species
UACGUAGGGUGCAAGCGUUAAUCGGAAUUACUGGGCGUAAAGCGUGCGCAGGCGGUUUUGUAAGUCUGUCGUGAAAUCCCCGGGCUCAACCUGGGAAUUGCGAUGGAGACUGCAAGGCUAGAAUCUGGCAGAGGGGGGGUAGAAUUCCACGUGUAGCAGUGAAAUGCGUAGAGAUGUGGAGGAAUACCGAUGGCGAAGGCAGCCCCCCUGGGCCAAUACUGACGCUCAUGCACGAAAGCGUGGGGAGCAAACAGG